UAGGGAAUUUUUCACAAUGGGCGCAAGCCUGAUGGAGCAACGCCGCGUGCAGGAGGAAGGCCUUCGGGUUGUAAACUGCUUUUAUGAGUGACGAUUAUGACGGUAGCUCAUGAAUAAGGGUCUGCUAACUACGUGCCAGCAGCCGCGGUCAUACGUAGGACCCAAGCGUUAUCCGGAAUUACUGGGCGUAAAGAGUUGCGUAGGUGGCAAGGUAAGCGAUGCAUGAAAGCCCACGGCUCAACCGUGGGACUAUGUUUCGAACUGCCUAGCUUGAGUACGGGAGAGGUAGAUGGAAUUCCCAGUGUAGGAGUGAAAUCCGUAGAUAUUGGGAGGAACACCGAUGGCGUAGGCAGUCUACUGGCCCGUUACUGACACUAAGGCACGAAAGCGUGGGGAGCGAAUGGGAUUAGAUACCCCAGUAGUCCACGCUGUAAACGAUGGAUGCUAGCUGUUAUCAGUAUCGACCCUGGUAGUAGCGAAGCUAACGCGUUAAGCAUCCCGCCUGGGGAGUACGAGCGCAAGCUUAA
rnacentral:rRNA from 1 species